AAAUCUCAACCUUCUCGGUUUUCUUCUGGACACCGAAGGAGGCUUGGACUUUGGAGGCCUUUGCUGGCGUCUCUCUAGAGCCAGCUCCUCUUAAAUGAAUUAGCGGGGUCCUCUUUGCCGAUCCUUGACAUGUGAUAAGAUGUUUCCAUGACUCGGUUUCUGGCUCUGUUGCAUUUGGGACCUGCUUCUAACCGUCUCGACGAGACGAUGUUUGGGAGUGUCUCCCUUCUCGGGAGACUCUCUCGACCCCACGAAC
rnacentral:misc_RNA from 1 species